CCAUUUGGUGGGGAAGGAUACAAUGUUAAAUUGUCCUUGGCUGCCUCUGGGUGGAUGGAGCCUGUUGAAACUCUAGUGUGUCUAAGUUAAGCCGACAUCUGGUUAGACAUGAAGAUAUCUGAGCCUUUUCCUGGACAGGUCAGGGAGAUUCCUAGGCACUGGCUUUUUUUUUUUUUUUUUUUUUUUGAGACGGAGUUUCGCUCUUAUUACCCAGACUGGAGUGCAAUGGCGCGAUCUCGGCUCACCGCAACCUCCGCCUUCUGGGUUCAGGCAAUUCUCCUGCCUCACCCUCCCGAGUAGCUGGGACUACAGGCACGCGCCACCGUGCCCAGCUAAUUUUUGUAUUUUUAGUAGAGACGGGGUUUCACCAUGUUAACCAGGAUGGUCUCGAUCUCUUAACCUCGUGAUCCAUCCGCCUCGGCUUCCCAAAGUGCUGGGAUUACAGGCUUGAGUCACCGCGCCCGGCCUGGCACUGGCUUUUAAAAGGAGAGAUCCCGGCUGGGCUUGGUGGCUCACACCUGUAAUCCCAGCACUUUGGGAGGCUGAGGCGGGCGCAUCACCUGAGGUCAGGAGUUCAAGGCCAGCCUGUCCAACAUGGUGAAACCCCAUCUCUACUAAAACUACAAAAAUUGGCUGGGUAUGAUGGUGUGGGCUUGUCAUCCCAACUACUCGGGAGGCUGAGGCAGGAGACUGGCUUGAACCUUGGAGGCGGAGGUUGCAGUGAGCCAAGAUCACGACACUACACUCCAGCCUGGGUGACAGAGCGAGACUACAUCUCAAGAAAAAAAAAAAGGAGAGAUCCCUAUAACUGCAGGUCGUCUGAGGAGGCCUGAGAAACUCAGCGCUUAAGUAUCAAAUACUUUCAAGAUGGGCUGUCAGAACUUCUAGAAGAAGUUUUGUGUCUUCUAGAAGACACAAAAGCUGAGAAAGUUGGAAGACACCAGAGUUGGGGCCAUAUUUUAUGUACCUAUUCUACUCCAUUCCAUUCCAUCGUGUCUUGCCAUAAGCACGCUGCAGAUGAGAACUAUACAGAAGAAGAGCAUGCGGCGAACACAGCCUGGACAACCUCGCAAAGAGCGUGGGGCGGGCGUCAGUCCUUUGAGGAAGGUGCUGGAGCACAGGGACACUUGGCAGAGAUUAGCAGCAUUGAGAGCUCGAGGGCCAUCUCAUCGGUAAUGGACUGUGUUUUGGAAGAGACAGGCAAAGUCCCGCUUGACCAGAACUGUUCGGAUAUUCCAAAACAAAACGAACUCAUAUAAACAUACUAAGGCAUACUGACAUUUGACCACCUCCCCCGCACGUGGCUUUGUAGAGUUGGGGUUUCACCAUGUUGGCCAGGCUGGUCUCGAACUCCUGACCUCAACUGAUAUGCGCACCUCGGCCUCAAAGCGCUGGGAGUACAGACAUGAACUACCAUGCCCAGACUGCAAGAUGUUUUAAUUUCUCCUUUGUUCUCACCCUCCACAAUGGAUGGGGGCCAGGUACGUUGAUUUAGUUCCUGGAGUCUCUUUAUCACUCCAUCUGCCUCUUCCCUCACUCAAGCCUUGGCUGCAGCAAUAACCCCCAACAGCUCAACGGACCAUGCUCCAUACUGUGGCCAGAGCUUUCUUUUUCAAGCUUAACUCCAAUUGCCUUAAUGUCCUCUUUUGAAAAACACUCUUAGGGACUCCCUGUUGCCUGUUGAAUAAAGUCUAAAUUUCUUGUGAUGCCACUCACCUCUCCCCACUGUCUGGUCCCAGCCUACCUUUCCUCGCCCUCCUCAGUCUUCCAAAGCCAGCUCCAAUUUAUCUGACAUGCUCCCCGCCCAUACCUUUCCUGUCACUCUUCCUAAUUCCUGGCCAACUCUUAUCUUCCAGAAGCUACCAGUGAAAUCCUACCCAUUUCUCAAACCCUGGAAAUCUAUGUCAAUUCUGGUGUCUCUCUUCAUCAGACCAUAACCUUUGGCUGAGCGCGGUGGCUCAUGCCUGCAAUCCCAGAACUUUGGGAGGCUGGGGUAUGUGGAUCAUUUGAGGUCAGGAGUUUGAGACCAGCCUGGCCAACAUGGUGAAAUCCCGCCUCUACUAAUACUACAAAAAUUAGCCAGGCAUGGUAGUGGACACCUGUAAUCCCAGAUACUCAGGAGGCUGAGGCAGGAGAAUUGCUUGAACCUGGGAGGUGGAGAUUGCAGUGAGCUGAGAUCGCACCACUGUACUCCAGCCUGGGUAACAGAGCAAGACUCUUUCUAAAAAAAAAAAAAAAAAAAAAAAAAGGAUUCUAACCUUCUACAAAAGAGGAACAGUGUUUUACUUAUCUCUACACACUCCCCGAUACCUUCCACACAUUGGAGAAGCAAGACGUACCAUAAGUCAAGUGAAAAAUUAAAAUGCAGUAACUUCUGAACCAGGCACUAUACUGGGCAUUUUGUGGGCAUUAUCUCACUUAAUCUGCCUUGUUACACAGAUGGGUAUGUAGACUCUAAAAGGCCAAAGGAGCAGCCCACAGCCAUCUACACCAACAGGGGUGGAAUUAGGAUUUGCACUCAGGUCGGCUCCCAAAAUUCCAUUUUGGUGGGUCUGAAGCAUCCCCCCUGCAAAAGAAAGACACCUGGCUAUCUCACUCCAGGGAAACCAAGGGAAGCCCUCUCUCCUCCCAAGGAGUUUAACUAUCGCCCCCCUGCUCGUUCAUGACACAGGUGUGGGAACUGGAUUCACAGUGAUGGCAGGCGGGCGUCAUGUUCCGAUGCUAUUUCAGGAGAUGUCUCAUUCCUCCCGGCCAAACUCACUUUUGUGAAAUGGGGUUGGAGCUGCUACAGGCCAGUUCAAGGGCAAGAGGGAAAUAAAUGGGCCAUAACUUGAAUAACCCCCAGAUACCCAGUCAACCCUAUUUUGCUCAUCCAUUGCUUAAUACUAUUUUGCAGUUAUUGUUGGCUACAAGGCCUGGAUGAAAAGCCACCACGAGAGGGCAGUAUUUCUCCACCCUGGAUCUGAGCUAAAUAAAUCUGGACUCACUCUGGUCCUUGAUAGGUUACUCAACAGAAAGGGGCUUUUGGUGGGAAUUCUGGCAAAUGAAAGAAACACAUCAGAUCACUCUCCUGCCUUCUAGCCUGGAGUUGUGAAGCAGCCUGUAUUGGGGAUUGAAAGGUGUUUACUUAAAAAAAAAUCUUUCUGGAGAAGAAAGAUGAAUCGUGGUUAUAUAAUCAUUUCUUUGGAUUCCUUGACUAAACAAGACAAUGUUUCCAUCUGUCUGCUACUAGAAGGGCAGGGAUAUGCAGAAAGGAGGUGCCUCGCACAUGGUAACCUCUUCUAAGUAUUUAUUCCCUGAUGGAGAAGCAUUCCUGCAUAAAGCUUGACUUGGAGUGGGAAGCACUGAUCAAUUUCUGUUUGAUGGGGAUUGGACACAGCAGUUUCCUUCCCCGGGGAAAUUGGCACGUGUCUCCAAAGGUAUAAAGGAUUGGAAACAACGCCUUUGGGAGAAGAGCUAGUAGGAGCUGGAAUUGGGUUUGCAGGAAAGGUAUUUAUUUGACUAAUUUUUUUUGAGAUGGAGUCUCGCUCUAUUGCCCAGGCUGAAGUGCAAUGGCACCAUCUCAUCUCACUGUAACCUCUGCCUCCUGGGUUCAAGCAAUUCUCCUGCCUCAGCCUCCCUAGAAGCUAGGAUUACAGGCACAUACCUGUACACCCAGCAACUUUAGUAUUUUUAGUAGAGACAGGGUUUCACCAUGUUGGCCAGGCUGGUCUUGAACUCCUGACCUCGGGUGAUCUGCCUGCCUCAGCCUCCCAAUGUGCUGAGAUUACAGGAGUGAGCUACUGUGCCCUGCAGGAAAGAAGUUUAGAAUGGGCUUUCCUUCAGGAUAGAAAGGGUUAGUGUGGGUUGCUGAAUGUUUGUUCUUUAUGUCUGUGGAAGGCUGAGCAGGGGAAAUUGGGAUUAAAGGAAGGGAGGGGAGAUUACAGCUGGCAUGAAGUCAAACUCCAUGUGCCAGGAAUGGGACAGCAGUGGGGGCUGCCAGGGAUGGUAGGGGAAGGUAAGACAUAGAUUGCCUUUUCACUUCAGCAGUCUCCUAGGUCGGGCCCUUUGGGAUCUUGGUGCCCCCAUUGUAAAGCCCUUUCAAAGGGGCCAGUGCACUUCCUCUUUAGCAGGGACCCACACUAACGCCAAGAUAUGCCCACACAUAGUACAUAAAAGAGAUGUGGUUUUCUGUACGGAACACAACAAACAGGGUAGAACUGAUACAACAUUCCCUUUGCAUCCUUGGGGACCCUGUAAUCUGGGGUGGCCACUAGCAUUUCUUCGCUCUUUCUGGGCACCACCUGAUGUUAAUUUGUAGCAUUUAAUUAUAGAAAGGGAUCCCUUCCCAGCAUUCAUCCUGAGAGAGUAAAUUCAGCAGGUUGCUUCUUAGGGAGAAAUUGCACCGGCCCCAAUUCCUACUGAAGACUUGGCUGCCCAUUUUUUGAUCUGAGUUGAGGGUAAUUUAUUUGUCAAAAUUACUUUAACAGGUUUAAAGCUUUGGAGAUCAAGUGCAGAGGGCAAGAAGCCCGAGGGCCACGUUCUUCCCAUCUUCAAUCUCAUGCACUUUAACCAGCUUGUUAUUUCACCCCCAGGGGUAAAGCAGCAAGCCCCCUUUGGGGGAAUAAAAAACUAACAAUCAUAUAGUUACUUGAUAUUGUUUCCAGGCAUCAAAGCUUUAACAUUUAAUCCAUUUAUAUUCUUUUUGGAGAUAAGAGUUUCACUCUUGUUGCCUAGGCUGGAGUGCAAUGGCGCCAUCCUGGUUCACUUGGGAGGCAACCUCCGCCUCCCAAGUUCAAGCGAUUCUUCUGCCUCAGCCUCCCAAGUAGCUGGGAUUAUAGGCAUGCGUCACCACGCCCAGCUAAUUUUUGUAUUUUUAGUAGAGACGGGGUUUUACCAUGUUGGUCAGGCUGGUCUCGAACUCCUGACCUCAGGUGAUCCACCCAUUUCGGCCUCCCAAAGUGCUAGGAUUAUAGGCGUGAACCACUGCACCCGGCCUAUUCAUUCAUAUUCUUUAGAUUCAUUAUGACUAGGAAAAACUGAGGACAAGUGACUCAUCCAAAAUCACCCAGUGGCAAAGCAGGAAGAUCCAGGCUUCUUUGAACAACAUAACUUCCGGGUCCCUUGGAUGGUAUUGCUGGAGGAUGGGGCAGUCAGUGGAUGUGGCCAAGUCAAGUGAUUCUGGUGGGAUGGGUGGGUUUGGGGAGGGGACUCACCCCAUCCAUUAGAUGGGUUCACGUCACGUGAGGGCUCUGCUCACUGGUCUCAGAAUCUAAAUGCAUCAAAUUCUGGGACUGCCCCUUUCGUUGGGAGAUAGCCCCUUAAUCAAUUUCCUACUCCUCCCUCCAUGCCCUGAACCCUUUCUAACCAGAACAAUUACUGGGCUUCCACACGUUUCAGGUACAUGGGCGUGGACCCUUAAUUAUGGACACUUGAGGGAUUAAUGUGGGCCAGGGACAUGUUUCUUGGCCUCGAGGGUCUUCAGUGAAAGAGGUGGAGAUCUAAGGUUGACAUACUUGCGCAGGGAAGAGAACGGACAGACCUGGCCCAUCACACACAGGCAUACACACGCACGACCAAAAACGUCAUCAUAAAAAAGGGGAAGGGGGGACUUUUGUGGCUGAGGGACUCCCUCAGAGAGCUUGUGCCUAGUUCCUGCAGCCUUUCCAGGGGAACCCCAGAGAAAAAAACCCCCACAGCGACGGCCAUGUUCCAGUGGUUUCAUGCACCCGUUAGUUGCCCUUGUCAGCAAGAGAGGGGGCAGGAACAGAGUUUUGUAAGAGCCACUGCAGAUUAGAAAAGCAUCACAUUGCAGCAGGAAAACUCUGAAAUCAACCCAGGAGGGCCGAGGAAACCACUGAGGGGCGAGAACCCGGACGAAGGAAACCAGGGCACAGCGACAAGGACGGGAGGCAGAGCGAGGGCCACGCGGGGUCCCAGAGGAAAGGUUCAGCAGUGUCAGUCUGCGCUUACAAAACCUGCAGUC
rnacentral:lncRNA from 1 species